rnacentral:rRNA from 1 species
UACGAAGGGGGCUAGCGUUGCUCGGAAUCACUGGGCGUAAAGCGCACGUAGGCGGAUCGCUAAGUCAGGGGUGAAAUCCUGGAGCUCAACUCCAGAACUGCCUUUGAUACUGGCAAUCUCGAGUCCGGGAGAGGUGAGUGGAACUGCGAGUGUAGAGGUGAAAUUCGUAGAUAUUCGCAAGAACACCAGUGGCGAAGGCGGCUCACUGGCCCGGUACUGACGCUGAGGUGCGAAAGCGUGAGGAGCAAACAGG